UUGCCGGCGACCGGCGCACGGGUGAGUAACGCGUAUCCCACCUUCCGCUUACUCGGGGAUAGCCUUUCGAAAGAAAGAUUACAUACCCGAUGGUAUCUUAAGCACGCAUGAGAUUAAGAUUAAAGAUUUAUCAGUAAGCGAUGGGGAUGCGUUCCAUUAGGCAGUUGGCGGGGUAACGGCCCACCAAACCUACGAUGGAUAGGGGUUCUGAGAGGAAGGUCCCCCACAUUGGAACUGAGACACGGUCCAAACUCCUACGGGAGGCAGCAGUGAGGAAUAUUGGUCAAUGGGCGAGAGCCUGAACCAGCCAAGUAGCGUGAAGGAUGACGGCCCUACGGGUUGUAAACUUCUUUUGUGCGGGAAUAAAGGAGCCUACGUGUAGGCUUUUGCAUGUACCGUAACGAAUAAGCAUCGGCUAACUCCGUGCCAGCAGCCGCGGUAAUACGGAGGAUCCGAGCGUUAUCCGGAUUUAUUGGGUUUAAAGGGAGCGUAGGCGGAUUGUUAAGUCAGUUGUGAAAGUUUGCGGCUCAACCGUAAAAUUGCAGUUGAUACUGGCAGUCUUGAGUGCAGUAGAGGUGGGCGGAAUUCGUGGUGUAGCGGUGAAAUGCUUAGGUAUCACGAAGAACUCCGAUUG
rnacentral:rRNA from 1 species